UACGGAGGGGGCGAGCGUUGUCCGAAGUUACUGGGCGUAAAGCGCGCGUAGGCGGGUGGGUAAGUCCGCUGUGAAAGCCCGGAGCUCAACUCCGGAGGUCGGUGGAUACUGCCCAUCUUGAAGGUGCUAGGGGGAGAUGGAAUUACCGGUGUAGCGGUGAAAUGCGUAGAGAUCGGUAGGAACACCAGUGGCGAAGGCGGUCUCCUGGAGCAUAACUUGACGCUGGAGGCGCGGAAAGCUGGGGGAGCGAACGGG
rnacentral:rRNA from 1 species